rnacentral:lncRNA from 1 species
GGGCGGGGGGGCCUCUACAUUUGCUGUCUUUGCUCUCAGUGUUUGUAAUCCCAGCAAGCUCCUCAGUGUAACAAUGGCAUCUGUAAUGUCACAGCAGUGUGGCAGGUUCUGAGGGGACAACUGCCUGAAGAAAAGAGCCAGCCACAAGGAAUGGUAAGCGCAAGCUUCUGAGACGUCAGAACUGGAGAAAAAUAAGGAGAGACACAUUUCCUUGAGAGCCGGGAGUGCACAGUAUGGGCGUGUCGGGAGAGAUCACAGCCUCAGCUGCUACAAAUCAUAAUGCCGUCCAUCUUGUUUUUUGAGUUCAGGCAUGCCUGUCUAAAUCUGAAGAGGGAAAAAUCUAGAAGAUGCUUUCUUACAAAAAACUGCUAAAAUGAUCUCUACCCAGUAGGAAGCUUGAUCUUCCACAAGGGGAAUGGCUUUACACAGUGCACAUGAGAUUCUCCCUACACCAGAAAUGGAUGCCGAGAUGGGAAGAGGAUUAACAGGAUUCUCUGACAUUUUUCUCAGUUAGAUCAUCUGCAAUUAACUUAGCAACACCAGGUGACUACAGUAGGAUGGGCCAAGAAGCACACACCCGGAGUCUAACAACCAGAAAAUACAAAUAAACUUAAGGAC